UACGUAGGGUGCAAGCGUUGUCCGGAAUUAUUGGGCGUAAAGAGCUCGUAGGCGGUUCGAUAAGUCGGGUGUGAAACCCCCAGGCUCAACCUGGGGACGCCACCCGAUACUGCUGUGACUUGAGUCCGGUAGGGGAGCGUGGAAUUCCUGGUGUAGCGGUGAAAUGCGCAGAUAUCAGGAGGAACACCAGCGGCGAAGGCGGCGCUCUGGGCCGGAACUGACGCUGAGGAGCGAAAGCGUGGGUAGCAAACAGG
rnacentral:rRNA from 1 species